GACAGAGGGCGCGAGCGUUGUUCGGAAUUACUGGGCGUAAAGGGCUCGUAGGCGGCCAACUAAGUCAGACGUGAAAUCCCUCAGCUUAACUGGGGAACUGCGUCUGAUACUGGAUGGCUUGGAUUCGGGAGAGGAAUGCGGAAUUCCAGGUGUAGCGGUGAAAUGCGUAGAUAUCUGGAGGAACACCGGUGGCGAAGGCGGCAUUCUGGACCGACAUUGACGCUGAGGAGCGAAAGCCAGGGGAGCAAACGGG
rnacentral:rRNA from 1 species